AUGUUGCAGCUGGUAGUGUUAGUCGUCUUGGCAUUUUGUAUGCAACUGUCACUAUCGCAGUCUGUCAAUGUGGACUGCAUUGCAAACAAGGGAGAACCGGGUGUCCCCGGAGUGCCGGGUCCUCCAGGAAGACAGGGACCAGUAGGAAAGGAAGGAGCACCAGGAAUUGCAGGCGGCACCGGCUUGAAG